UAUAUAUAUAUAUAUAUAUAUAUAUGACUGGAUAGCUCAAUAGAUAAGGCAUCAGUAUAUCACCCGAGAGGGCAGGGGUUCGAAUCCAGUCUGGCUCAGAGAUGCUCUAAGAUGCUUAG